rnacentral:misc_RNA from 1 species
CUGUAAUUUUUAGUGUCAUGUCUGUGAUGAAAAGCUGCGUGGGAGUUACUUCUUCUUCCAGAAUAAACCCAUCUGUGAGAAGGAUUUCCAGAACACCCAGCAAAGCUGCUCUGAGUGUGGAGAGGUUAUUGAAGGAACAUACUAUUCACUCAAUAACAAGGUCUACUGUGAGAAGGAUUACAAGGCCUACACUGAUGAAUGCGGGUCCUGUGGAGAACCUAUUGCUGGAAAAGUAAUUAAAAUUACAGGAGCUGCCUUUCAUCCACACUGCUUCAACUGCCAGGAGUGUAACUCUAAUAUGGUUGGACUACCCUUCUCUACUGAUCAAGAAAACACUGUUUAUUGUCCAGAAGAUUUUACAAGGAAGUUUGCUGCUCUCUGUACAGUCUGUAAGAACCCUAUAGUUCCUAAGGAGGGUCAUACAACAGCACCCAGAAUAAGAGCUCUUGAUAAGGAUUUCCAUCCUGCCUGCUUUAAGUGUGAGGAUUGCCAUCUAGUGUUGGAUUCUCGAAUUAAAGGGAAGGAAUGUUGGCCGAUCAGAAGUCACGUGCUCUGCUACACGUGCUAUAGACGUAGGCAGAGUGAAAGCGAAGAAGAAAGCGAUUAAUAGAUUCUAUUAGUGAAUUAAAAAGGGACUGUACACGUCAUUUAAAAAGAGUGGUUUGAUUAAAAAACUGAACCUUUAAAACCUCUCGUUGAGGUUGAGAAGCAAUCGGGAGAUUUGUUUGUUUUUUAUUUAAACGUUUAGAGUUAUUCCUUUUAUCGCUUCUGCUUCAUUUAUCCUAUAGUAGACAAAGAUCUAAAGGAAAUUGUUGCGGAUCCGUUUAGAGAGUUAUUUAAGAUUACGUGAACAGUCCCAACAAUAACAUUUUAAUUAUUCAAACAGAAUUGUAUUAUUAUAAAUGCAUUAACAGUUGGUUUAUAAACCUAAACAAAUGUUGAAUAAAUUCUAAUCACUUUAUUACUGUAGACAUAUUUUAUAAUUAUUAUUAUUAUGAAAUUUAUUAAUUUAUUAAUUUUAGAGUUUAUUAAUACCAAAAGAAUAUGUUAUCCUGAAAGCAGCAUUGUGAACCACAGAGAAAAUGAAUUUAUUUCAAUGUUUUCUUUUUCUAUUUUUAUGAUUUAAAAACGAAAAA